rnacentral:rRNA from 1 species
AAAUUCCAAUCGAACCUGGAGAUAGCUGGUUCUCUCCGAAAUAGCUUUAGGGCUAGCCUCAAGUGAUGAUUAUUGGAGGUAGAGCACUGUUUGGACGAGGGGCCCCUCUCGGGUUACCGAAUUCAGACAAACUCCGAAUGCCAAUUAAUUUAACUUGGGAGUCAGAACAUGGGUGAUAAGGUCCGUGUUCGAAAGGGAAACAGCCCAGACCACCAGCUAAGGUCCCAAAAUAUAUGUUAAGUGGAAAAGGAUGUGGCGUUGCCCAGACAACUAGGAUGUUGGCUUAGAAGCAGCCAUCAUUUAAAGAGUGCGUAAUAGCUCACUAGUCGAGUGACACUGCGCCGAAAAUGUACCGGGGCUAAACAUAUUACCGAAGCUGUGGAUUGUCCUUUGGACAAUGGUAGGAGAGCGUUCU